rnacentral:rRNA from 1 species
CCUACGGGAGGCAGCAGUGGGGAAUUGUUCGCAAUGGGCGCAAGCCUGACGACGCAACGCCGCGUGGAGGAUGAAGAUUUUCGGAUCGUAAACUCCUUUCGAUCGGGACGAACGGCCUCCGGGUGAACAAUCCGGAGGAAUGACGGUACCGAGAGAAGAAGCCCCGGCUAACUCCGUGCCAGCAGCCGCGGUAAUACGGGGGGGGCAAGCGUUGUUCGGAAUUACUGGGCGUAAAGGGCUCGUAGGCUGCCAACUAAGUCAGACGUGAAAUCCCUCGGCUUAACCGGGGAACUGCGUCUGAUACUGGAUGGCUUGAAUCCGGGAGAGGGAUGCGGAAUUCCAGGUGUAGCGGUGAAAUGCGUAGAUAUCUGGAGGAACACCGGUGGCGAAGGCGGCAUCCUGGACCGGUAUUGACGCUGAGGAGCGAAAGCCAGGGGAGCAAACGGGAUUAGAUACCCCGGUAGUCCUGGCCCUAAACGAUGAAUGCUUGGUGUGGCGGGUAUCGAUCCCUGCCGUGCCGAAGCUAACGCGAUAAGCAUUCCGCCUGGGGGAGGUACGGUCGCGAGGCGUGAAACGUUAAAGGUAAAGUUAGUUACGGCGUGAGACGUGCCGACGGCGACGACGAGGGAGGAGG